AGAGUUUGAUCCUGGCUCAGGACGAACGCUGGCGGCGUGCCUAAUACAUGCAAGUAGAACGCUGAAGAGAGGAGCUUGCUCUUCUUGGAUGAGUUGCGAACGGGUGAGUAACGCGUAGGUAACCUGCCUUGUAGCGGGGGAUAACUAUUGGAAACGAUAGCUAAUACCGCAUAACAAUGGAUGACACAUGUCAUUUAUUUGAAAGGGGCAAUUGCUCCACUACAAGAUGGACCUGCGUUGUAUUAGCUAGUUGGUGAGGUAACGGCUCACCAAGGCGACGAUACAUAGCCGACCUGAGAGGGUGAUCGGCCACACUGGGACUGAGACACGGCCCAGACUCCUACGGGAGGCAGCAGUAGGGAAUCUUCGGCAAUGGGGGCAACCCUGACCGAGCAACGCCGCGUGAGUGAAGAAGGUUUUCGGAUCGUAAAGCUCUGUUGUAAGUCAAGAACGAGUGUGAGAGUGGAAAGUUCACACUGUGACGGUAGCUUACCAGAAAGGGACGGCUAACUACGUGCCAGCAGCCGCGGUAAUACGUAGGUCCCGAGCGUUGUCCGGAUUUAUUGGGCGUAAAGCGAGCGCAGGCGGUUUGAUAAGUCUGAAGUUAAAGGCUGUGGCUCAACCAUAGUUCGCUUUGGAAACUGUCAAACUUGAGUGCAGAAGGGGAGAGUGGAAUUCCAUGUGUAGCGGUGAAAUGCGUAGAUAUAUGGAGGAACACCGGUGGCGAAAGCGGCUCUCUGGUCUGUAACUGACGCUGAGGCUCGAAAGCGUGGGGAGCGAACAGGAUUAGAUACCCUGGUAGUCCACGCCGUAAACGAUGAUAACUCGUUGCAGGCGAUACACAGUCUGUGACUUAGCGAAAGCGUUAAGUUAUCCACCUGGGGAGUACGUUCGCAAGAAUGAAACUCAAAGGAAUUGACG
rnacentral:rRNA from 1 species